rnacentral:rRNA from 1 species
AAGACCUUGCACUUUUGGAGCGGCCGAUGUCUGAUUAGCUAGUUGGUGGGGUAAUGGCCUACCAAAGCUUCGAUCAGUAGCUGGUCCGAGAGGACGGCCAGCCACACUGGGACUGAGACACGGCCCAGACUCCUACGGGAGGCAGCAGUGGGGAAUUUUGGACAAUGGGCGCAAGCCUGAUCCAGCCAUGCCGCGUGAGUGAAGAAGGCCUUCGGGUUGUAAAGCUCUUUCAGCCGGGAAGAAAAGGUUGCGACUAAUAAUCGCAAUCCAUGACGGUACCGAAAGAAGAAGCACCGGCUAACUACGUGCCAGCAGCCGCGGUAAUACGUAGGGUGCGAGCGUUAAUCGGAAUUACUGGGCGUAAAGGGUGCGCAGGCGGUUUUGUAAGUCAGAUGUGAAAUCCCCGGGCUUAACCUGGGAACU